rnacentral:rRNA from 1 species
CAGUACCUCAAGUGUUCAGGAUGAUUAUUGGGCCUAAAGCAUCCGUAGCCGGCGCUGUAAGUUUUCGGUUAAAUCUGUACGCUCAACGUACAGGCUGCCGGGAAUACUGCAGCGCUAGGGAGUGGGAGAGGUAGACGGUACUCGGUAGGAAGGGGUAAAAUCCUUUGAUCUAUUGAUGACCACCUGUGGCGAAGGCGGUCUACCAGAACGCGUCCGACGGUGAGGGAUGAAAGCUGGGGGAGCAAACCGGAUUAGAUACCCGAGUAGUCC